rnacentral:lncRNA from 1 species
GUGGACGGCCAAGGGGAGCCCAGCCUCGGUCACUGCGGGGUGGACGGCCAAGGGGAGCCCAGCCUCGGUCACUGCGGGGUGGACGGCCAAGGCGAGCCCAGGAGGUCACUGGAGGAGGAGAAAUGCAGGAAGAAGGCAGCUGUCAAUAGCGCAGGGGUGCACAGAGCCCUGAAGGAGCCAUGUGUAAGGUGCCGAGGGUGUGUGCAGGUGGAGCUUGGUCAGGGAGGCCGCACCAGGACCACCAAAGCAGGUGAUACCUGAAUGAUGUUCUAGGCCAAGGAAGAGAGGACAGAGGCCCGGCCAGGGCUAGAGCAUAAACCAGGCUGGUGCUGACCACGGCAGAAGGGCAGAAGGUACCCUCCGGCUGUGCGUGGAGAACGGGCAGCAGGGACGAGGGCCUGGGGCCAGGCUGGUGGCACUGGCUGUUCCCGAAGCCCGUCACUCACCUGCAUCUGUUCCAUCCAGGCAGGUGUGGGCAGGGAGGAGAGGAGCAGGGAUGGGGCCCAUACAUUGGGCUCAGGAGAUGCAGGGAAGCCCCCAAGCUGCAGAAGAGGAGGACACCCGGGACCAGGCAGGGCCUGGAGGCCGGGGCAGCGAUGGAGCCCUGCUGGGCCUGCAGGUCUGAGGCACUUGGGGGUUGGCCUGGAGGCCUAGGGAGGGGGUGUGGGGCAGCAGCACACUUUGCUGGUGCCACCUGGGAAGGUGCCCACCCAUCUCCAAGGGGCGGGGG